rnacentral:rRNA from 1 species
AACGAACGCUGGCGGCCUGCCUAACACAUGCAAGUCGAACGAGAUCUUCGGGUCUAGUGGCGCACGGGUGCGUAACGCGUGGGAAUCUGCCCUUUGGUUCGGAAUAACAGUUGGAAAUGACUGCUAAUACCAGAUGAUGACGAAAGUCCAAAGAUUUAUCGCCAGAGGAUGAGCCCGCGUAGGAUUAGCUAGUUGGUGUGGUAAAGGCGCACCAAGGCGACGAUCCUUAGCUGGUCUGAGAGGAUGAUCAGCCACACUGGGACUGAGACACGGCCCAGACUCCUACGGGAGGCAGCAGUGGGGAAUAUUGGACAAUGGGCGAAAGCCUGAUCCAGCAAUGCCGCGUGAGUGAUGAAGGCCUUAGGGUUGUAAAGCUCUUUUACCCGGGAUGAUAAUGACAGUACCGGGAGAAUAAGCUCCGGCUAACUCCGUGCCAGCCGCCGCCGUAA